GAAGAAAAAAAAAAAAAAAAAAAAAAAAAAAAAAAAAAAAAAAAAAAAAUUAUUACAUGACCGAAAGGUGGGUUGCAACUAAAGUAAAAAACGAAUUGAAAAUAUGUCCGUGAAGAGGAAAAGACUAGGGGGUAGUUUAGUAAUUUUUCAUACGAACCAAGCUUCAGGUAACAGCAAUGUUUAGAUUGUACAUUUCUUUUAGAUGUUCGACAACCCCUUUCUCUCUCUCUAAACCUUCUUCGAUUAUCUCUCGAUCUGGUUUUCAAGAAAUCGACCAUGGCUUCAUACGAUCCAAGCUUCAGGAAAGAAAAUUGUGUCUGUGCUAAAACCUUAAGCGUGAGGGGAAACGGGGAGGGCUUGAACUUACGAAGACAAGUGUACAACAGUUCCUGCCUGAAGAGACCAAAGAGCUUACCAUAACAUUGAUUGAUCAGCUGUACAAGUCAUGGAGAUGAUCAUGAGAAAAAACUUCUGGGAUUUAAUUAAACUGGACUGAAUUCGUUGAAUGCCACAAGCUGAAGAAGGGAGAGGCAAUUUCCAUUUACAGGCUAGAGCAGCCCUAGGAGAAAGAGUUUAUGAUCGAUCGCGUGCAGGAAAAAUUCCGAGCAAGGUACUGAAGGAAAUGAAGAAGGUGCAUGCUGCAGCUUCAAGGUGAAAACUGAAGUGAGUUUGGGCAGGAACGGAAAACCUUCAGCGAAUUAAGCCUGGUAAAAAAAUCCGUAGGGGACUGGUCACGGCUAUGCAUGACAUCCAUGCGAAAAAGCACCUCAAGUGGUGCCUGAAAAAAACUUGAGGGGUACAGUUGUUGCUGAUAAAGGGUAGGCUUGGUGAUGUUAUUGGAGGUGCAGUGUAUUAAAGUUACAUAGAUCUGAAACCAUCCACCGAUUAAAACCGACACCUUCCCCCAACUCCACCACCUCCCCAUUUGUCGGAACCUUGCUAAUAUGUUGAUAAUCAUGCCCCUUUUACAUUACUGUUAGGUACUGGUACAUUGUCCUAUUCGGUUUCAUUAUUUAUUUGUUUUUUGUUUUUGUUUUUGGUAACAGCCCAGGCCUCUCUUUCUGUAUGGACUAAUUACUUUUGUGGCCUAGGUGGCUUUGGGCCUAUGCUGUUGGGCUUGGGGUAUGCCCCAACUACCUUUGUAAAAGUCUCUUAUUUUUAUAUUACACAUUCUUACUUACGCAAAAUAAUAAUAAUAAUAAUAAUGUUUUAGUUUAAACU